AUUGAACGCUGGCGGCAGGCCUAACACAUGCAAGUCGAGCGGUAGAGAGAAGCUUGCUUCUCUUGAGAGCGGCGGACGGGUGAGUAAUGCCUAGGAAUCUGCCUGGUAGUGGGGGAUAACGCUCGGAAACGGACGCUAAUACCGCAUACGUCCUACGGGAGAAAGCAGGGGACCUUCGGGCCUUGCGCUAUCAGAUGAGCCUAGGUCGGAUUAGCUAGUUGGUGAGGUAAUGGCUCACCAAGGCGACGAUCCGUAACUGGUCUGAGAGGAUGAUCAGUCACACUGGAACUGAGACACGGUCCAGACUCCUACGGGAGGCAGCAGUGGGGAAUAUUGGACAAUGGGCGAAAGCCUGAUCCAGCCAUGCCGCGUGUGUGAAGAAGGUCUUCGGAUUGUAAAGCACUUUAAGUUGGGAGGAAGGGCAUUAACCUAAUACGUUGGUGUCUUGACGUUACCGACAGAAUAAGCACCGGCUAACUCUGUGCCAGCAGCCGCGGUAAUACGGAGGGUGCAAGCGUUAAUCGGAAUUACUGGGCGUAAAGCGCGCGUAGGUGGUUCGUUAAGUUGGAUGUGAAAUCCCCGGGCUCAACCUGGGAACUGCAUUCAAAACUGACGAGCUAGAGUAUGGUAGAGGGUGGUGGAAUUUCCUGUGUAGCGGUGAAAUGCGUAGAUAUAGGAAGGAACACCAGUGGCGAAGGCGACCACCUGGACUGAUACUGACACUGAGGUGCGAAAGCGUGGGGAGCAAACAGGAUUACAUACCCUGGUAGUCCACGCCGUAAACGAUGUCAACUAGCCGUUGGGAGCCUUGAGCUCUUACUGGCGCAGCUAACGCAUUAAGUUGACCGCCUGGGGAGUACGGCCGCAAGGUUAAAACUCAAUGAAUUGGCGGGGGCCCGCACAAGCGGUGGAGCAUGUGGGUUUAAUUCGAAGCUAACGCGAAGAAACCUUACCAGGCCUUGACAUCCAAUGAACUUAUCAGAGAUGGAAUG
rnacentral:rRNA from 1 species